ACAUUGAAGUAAAAUUUACUUUUAGUUUCGGCCUAAUUUUAGAGAUUCCCAUCUCCUUGUU
rnacentral:tRNA from 2 species